CAGGAUUAUACUCCCCAAAACAGGACAUUAUAACAGGACCGUUUCACAAGGGACACUGAGGACUUUGUAAAAAGCCUAAACCCUGGAUAGAGGGGCUCAGUGAACGUGGAGGUGAAUGUGUGCAGGUGGGUCAGUGUGUCAGAGGAGACUCUAUAGUAUAUAGUAGACUCCCUCUCUAAACUCUAUAGGUAUACCCAUAGACCGGUCACUCUUCAUGGACACACAGCUGGGAACAGGGGAGGCUGGUCUCUCCUCCUUGAUUGGUCUUCAACACAACAGAGACAAACAUUACAUCUCUCAUCUACUCUGAGCUCAGAUGGGGAAACAUAAGAAGACUUUCAUUCUAAAAUGCUAUGUAUCAAUUUUCAGAAAAGUUGGUGAAUUCGAUUUUAUUACUUAAAGAAAUGAUCAAAUAAAUUGUGUUUUUUCACUAUCUAAUCAUGGCACGGGGUUGUUCAAUGACAGACAUGACUUUGUUUAUAUUAUAUCACUUGAUGGUUUCAUUUCAGAGAGUCACAUUUUUUUUUUGCAAAAUGCUAUAUAUCCGUCUCACUCUCAGAUGUGACCGACCGGCUCAAUUUGGCAAUUAACUAAAUGUGUGGUGUUUUUGGUUUAUGUCAGUUUAAUUGUUUGUUAUGCUAUAAAUUGUUAUUUUAUGGAUGUAAGUGAUAAAAUUAACUAGAAGAUUGUA